UACAGAGGUGGCAAGCGUUGUUCGGAAUUACUGGGCGUAAAGGGCGCGUAGGCGGCCUUCUAAGUCGAACGUGAAAUCCCCGGGCUCAACCCGGGAACUGCGUCCGAGACUGAAAGGCUAGAAUCCGGGAGAGGGAUGUGGAAUUCCAGGUGUAGCGGUGAAAUGCGUAGAUAUCUGGAGGAACAUCGGUGGCGAAGGCGGCAUCCUGGACCGGUAUUGACGCUGAGGCGCGAAAGCCAGGGGAGCAAACGGG
rnacentral:rRNA from 1 species